UGGCGGACGGGUGAGUAAUGUCUGGGAAACUGCCUGAUGGAGGGGGAUAACUACUGGAAACGGUAGCUAAUACCGCAUAACGUCGCAAGACCAAAGAGGGGGACCUUCGGGCCUCUUGCCAUCGGAUGUGCCCAGAUGGGAUUAGCUAGUAGGUGGGGUAAAGGCUCACCUAGGCGACGAUCCCUAGCUGGUUUGAGAGGAUGACCAGCCACACUGGAACUGAGACACGGUCCAG
rnacentral:rRNA from 1 species